rnacentral:lncRNA from 1 species
GUGGAAACACAGUGUUGAGAAUAUUGUGGUAACUUCUCCUAUCCUUGAAAAGGGCUCACUUCCUUUUGGUCACCAGGAAGAAAAGUGAGCUAGGAUCUGCAAUUGUGAAAUUUCCAGUUUUGCAGGAACGAUCAGUGAGUGGCCAAACUUGAGCUUUCCCAACAUUCUCUGUCCUUAAUGAUAUCGUUUACAGGAUUUAUCUUUCUUUUUCUUUCUUUCUGGGAAUUUGAACCCAGGGCCUUCACACAGAUCCUGCCCUUUUACUAUUAUUAUUACUUAAAAAUUUGAGACAGGGUCUUGUAAGUCCUAAGUUGCCCAGACUGGGUUUAAAUUUGUGAUCCUCCUGCCUCCUGUGACCAGAGUGCUGGGAUUAAUCUCACCAAUUUCUUUUUUUUUUGUUUUUUUCUGGCCACACUACUACUUCUUCUUUCUUCAUUCCUUCUUGCAAUCUCCUGUUGCGGAAAGUUUUCCAUUUAAUAUUUGCUAAUCCGGCAGCUGUUUUGUUUACUCCCACUUUAAAGUCCUGUCUUUUGGGAAAAGUAACCAGGUCUGUCUUACCCUCCAUUUCCUUGGAUCUCCCGGAACCACUAAGAAAAGGAUGAACAGUGACUGUAACAGAGGGAACAAACCUACCCUUGGGCUUCCUCCUUCGUGGAGGGCUGCUCCUGUAUGCUCGAGGUGUCCAACACGUGGUGGUGAAAAGCAGAGGGAGAGAAGGUAGGAGAGAGAAUGAGACCAAAAGAAAACUUCUUCUCAAGCAGGACCUGCGUUGAAAUAGAUUCAUCUCUCAUGUCCUUGCCCUGAAUUAAAAUCUAAGUCCGUUUGUGUUUUGUAUGGAUGAAGAGGUGUGGGACAUGCCAUAUUUGGUGAUUUUUUUGGAUAAAAAGGUUUCCUGUUUCACUCAUUUGUCAGGUAUUUCAGCAGUAUCUAGAAUUUCUGAUAGACACUCUACUUCUUUAAACAAAAAGAGCCACCAUUAUUCCUCUGUAAGUACAGAAUGUCACAUAGACCUCUGUUGCUAUUUCAGCUGUCACUUAGGGGGUAAAUACUGUAUCUCUAUGAUGUGUGGUGGUGCACAUGGUUACCCUUCUGCUGCCACCACUAUGGGAGCUUGGGACCCUCUUUCCAGCCCACCACUUCCCGGCAGUUUAUGUCUAACUUGCUGUGUACCCGGGAAUGAGAUCACUCCAGCUAUCAAGAUUUAAGAACGGGCCCAGUUAGUAUGAAAAGUAUCCAGUCAGAGACUUUCAUCUCGGCGCUCAUCCCAUAUACGGUACAGCGAUACCUCGGUUGUCGAAUAAUUUCAAAGCUCAAUCUUUCCACUCCUCAAACGGCACAAUUCAGGGGAAACAAAGAUCUGCUCAGGGUUGGUAACUUUGCCUGUUAGUGGC